rnacentral:rRNA from 1 species
AUUGAACGCCGGCGGCAUGCCUUACACAUGCAAGUCGAACGGCAGCACGGGGGCAACCCUGGUGGCGAGUGGCGAACGGGUGAGUAAUACAUCGGAACGUGCCCAGUAGUGGGGGAUAGCCCGGCGAAAGCCGGAUUAAUACCGCAUACGACCUACGGGUGAAAGGGGGGGAUCGCAAGACCUCUCGCUAUUGGAGCGGCCAAUGUCAGAUUAGGUCGUUGGUGGGGUAAAGGCCUACCAAGCCGACGAUCUGUAGCUGGUCUGAGAGGACGACCAGCCACACUGGGACUGAGACACGGCCCAGACUCCUACGGGAGGCAGCGGUGGGGAAUUUUGGACAAUGGGCGCAAGCCUGAUCCAGCCAUGCCGCGUGCGGGAAGAAGGCCUUCGGGUUGUAAACCGCUUUUGUCAGGGAAGAAACGCUCCGGGCUAAUACCUCGGGGUAAUGACGGUACCUGAAGAAUAAGCACCGGCUAACUACGUGCCAGCCGCCGCGGUAAGAC